GCACUUUGGUUAGAGAUUUUCAUUUGGUGUCAAACGCACCUAGUUGUAAACAAAUGGAAAUUGAAAGUAAAAGUGCAACGGCACGGUAUAUUUUUUCUGGCAUUUUUUGUUUUCCAAUAUCUCGAACUUUCACGACAAAAAGGUCAUUUGCCCGAAAUUCAAUACAUGUAUCAGUGAGAGGGGCUAAAGUUUGUAUGGAAGUCUAUGGGAAAACAUUUGGUGGUGUUUGUCCUAUAGAAUAGCAAUGCAUUAUCAAGAAGGAAGAGAUUAAUGAACCCUACCCUCUUACAAUGAACAACACAUGGACACUCUCGGGAUGAUCCCUUUGCUUUCAUUAAGAGUUCCAAGAUGUUGGUCUGAUUGACUGGGGUGUGAAAUGUAACAGCCAAUGGUGUACUUAAGCUAAGACUGUCAGUCCCAAUAUUCAAGAGGUGAGAUAAGCAAUGGAUAUGUGUUCUAAAUUUACUAAAUUGACCACUUUUUAUAAAUGUUUCUUUUACUCUAUAGGAAAAACCCCUACAUAAACAAAUACAUGGGCGCAGACAUUUUGGACACCCAAAGUUGUGCGGAGGAGAAAAUGCUAGCUGGCGCGUGAUUGGUCAAUAAGAGAAAAGACUUGUUAUGUAUUUGACAAGUGAAAUAAAGUUGAUAAAAAUCUCAUAUCAAGACUUGGGUUUCUUUGAGGUAUAUAGGAGUUACAGCAAUGCAUUAUCAAGAAGGAAGAGAUUAAUGAACCCUACCCUCUUACAAUGAACAACACAUGGACACUCUCGGGAUGAUCCCUUUGCUUUCAUUAAGAGUUCCAAGAUGUUGGUCUGAUUGACUGGGGUGUGAAAUGUAACAGCCAAUGGUGUACUUCAGCAAAGACUGUCAGUCCCAAUAUUCAAGAGGUGAGAUAAGCAAUGGAUAUGUGUUCUAAAUUUACUAAAUUGACCACUUUUUAUAAAUGUUUCUUUUACUCUAUAGGAAAAACCCCUACAUAAACAAAUACAUGGGCGCAGACAUUUUGGACACCCAAAGUUGUGCGGAGGAGAAAAUGCUAGCUGGCGCGUGAUUGGUCAAUAAGAGAAAAGACUUGUUAUGUAUUUGACAAGUGAAAUAAAGUUGAUAAAAAUCUCAUAUCAAGACUUGGGUUUCUUUGAGGUAUAUAGGAGUUACAGCAAUGCAUUAUCAAGAAGGAAGAGAUUAAUGAACCCUACCCUCUUACAAUGAACAACACAUGGACACUCUCGGGAUGAUCCCUUUGCUUUCAUUAAGAGUUCCAAGGUAUGAUUUUCUUAGAAAAUCUA